rnacentral:tRNA from 1 species
GGUGACUCAGUGGUAGAGUGCUUGCAUUGCAUGCAUGAGGCCCUGGGUUCAAUUCCUCAGCACCA